rnacentral:rRNA from 1 species
CUACGGGGCGCUCCAGUGGGGAAUAUUGCACAAUGGGGGGAACCCUGAUGCAGCAACGCCGCGUGGAGGAUGACGCAUUUCGGUGUGUAAACUCCUUUUAUAUGUCAAGAAAAUGACGGUAGCAUAUGAAUAAGCACCGGCUAACUCCGUGCCAGCAGCCGCGGUAAUACGGAGGGUGCAAGCGUUACUCGGAAUCACUGGGCGUAAAGGACGCGUAGGGGGGUUGGAAGGUCAGGUGUGAAAUCCUACAGCUUAACUGUAGAACUGCACUUGAAACUUCUAAUCUAGAGUAUGGGAGGGGGAGAUGGAAUUAGUGGUGUAGGGGUAAAAUCCGUAGAUAUCACUAGGAAUACCUAAAGCGAAGGCGAUCUCCUGGAACAUUACUGACGCUAAGGCGUGAAAGCGUGGGGAGCAAACAGGAUUAGAUACCCUAGUAGUC